UACUUCCUCAACGAUGCGUGUUGGUUACCGAGCUCGCGUGGCGUGGUGCACUUCUUUUUUUUGGUGGCGUUGCGCUGGCGCGCACUCUUUUUUGUCGCUCCCAGUCCGCUCGCGUGGCGUGGUGCGCUCCCUUUUCUGGUGGCGAGGCGGGCAGGCGAAAGAGGAAGUAGGGGCAAGGGAGGAGAGGUUGGCGGGCAGGAGGAGCUCGGGGCGGGGCGCAGGGAGGAGGAGGAGGGACGAGCGAGUGUAGCGCCCGCCGCGGUGGAGGAGCGAUCCGGGUAGAGACGGGUGGGAGAGAAGGAGCGCUAAGCCUCGUCUUCCUGCCUACGCCGGUGGGUCCGCAGCCGCGGCCGCGGCCGCGCCCUAAUAUCUCCUCUCCCCUGUAGCUACCGGUCCGUUCCUUCCUGCUCCCCCUUAGACCACCUCCACUACUCCCUCGACGAUUCCACCCCGUCCUCUCCUGCCGAGCGGCUGUUCGAGCUCAACCUCCGCCACUCUAGAAAAGGAAGUACGGAAGGGUGGACGACUCGAGCAACCAGGAGGAGGGAGGGGACACGCCGGCAGAAGCAGGAAGUAGCGAGCUAAAUGCUAGUUGGGGACCAUGCGGAGGUAGGAAGCAGAGAACGAGGCACCGGGCCUACAACUCUCUCCCGCUCUCCGCCACAGCGCCACUAUACGUCCCCACUCCCUCUACCUCCGCCACUGGGCGUCGAGGAUAACUUCCCCGCCUCUUCUCCCCCAUGAGCACACUCGCCUCUUCUCCCCCAUGAGCACACCUUCUUUAGCCCUCCUUCGCAACCGUCACUGUCCAGCACCUAGUAGACACGAACACGUCUAAAAUAAAGACAUGCGGAUGUUCCACAAGCUGCUUUUAGGGUCUUCCGACCGUCCCCUUCUUACUAGAUACAUUCGGUACACUAAAGGACUAAGUCGACGUCAGUUCAUUAAGAUUAUCCUUCUGACAACCAAGUUGACUUCUACGCCUCAGUCACACACCUGUCGAACAACCAUCUCAGGUAUUUUUUUAAGGUUGGUCAGUAUUGGCGGGACGGAGCGAAGGCUGCCACGACGACCAACGAGUCCAAGGAUCCCCUGCAGAGUACCAACAAUAGAUACCCUCCUCUCCUACUGUAGGUGUCGUCAUUCGCCGUGCGACGGGGUCGGUCGGCAGUAUGUACCGGCGCAGCUAAAAGGCAAUGGAACGGAGGACGACAAGCUAAAAGGAGAAAACGAAUGAAGAGGAAGGUCACAACCACGCCCUAGCAAGCCAAGUAACAAGUAACAAGGCGACCGACGAGUCCAAACGGUUGUUGUAGUCAAACAACAAAAGAGGGUCUCCACCUAAUAAAGACGCCCCAACUCGAGGAGGUACUGGGCUAAAGAAUGGAACGACCAACACAGUAUACCGUCAGCCGUAAACGAACUACUUACAAAGUCAAGAUGAUGACAAAGUGGUGGGGUGGUACUCGAGCCGGAAGUCGGCACAAAUAAGAGAAAGGAAAGAGAUUAAGUAAAUAUAUAAAGUACCCAUCCCAUACCUAUCGGACUACUCUCGUCGGGUCAUCGGCGUGGAGGCGUUGAAACGGUUAGAGAGCUCCAAAUGCGUAUCGGGAUAUUCUUCUAGUUAGUAGCUACUGAACGGCUAAAUGUCCUCUUUUGUCCAACCCCCCUAUACUCCGAUAACCAGAAAUAAGGAAGUACAUCCAACUCCAUAAAGCCUCAACCAAGUGAGCCUUUUUUCCACACAACUACCAAACUCAAAAACGUAGUCGUCGUUCAGUCUAAAAAAGAUGGCCCCUCGUAGUUGGAAGAAGGGGGGUACUAGCAAUGAAACAACCGUACUCGAAAGAUCUUACAUAACAAACUAACAGAGGGUACAAUCGUCUAUCCAUGAUCGAUCUUGUGGGAAAAAUUACUACAUAAAGUACCUAUGUAACACUACCUCGUAAUCAACCGAACGGAAAACACAGUGAGUGAGUAACUGCUUAAAAAGUCAAAUCCUCCAAAACACCGGAGAACCAAGUCUUACGUUUAUUUGUUAUACGCGG
rnacentral:rRNA from 1 species